rnacentral:lncRNA from 1 species
UGCAAAUGCAUCCCAAAUUUCUCAAGUAUCUCAUCCAUAUGACCGAGAAUUGCUAAGCUGUUGCUCAUACACACACUCGAUCUCUGCACCUUCAUCUUCACCUCAUCCACAGCCGUCGAUCCCAUCUCCUCCAAUCCAUCCACACACGUCUCCUGAUCCGUCAUCGCCGCGCUAAUCCACGUCUUCAAAUCCCCUACUUUCUCCACCGUCAACACCGACUCACCACGCAUCGACUCAACCGACCGACUCAGUUGACUCACCGCGUCAUCAAACAGAUUCGCACAGUCUCGCAACGCGGAUCCGGUUCGUAAAUCGUUCGAGUUCGAAAUUAGGGUUUUAGGCAACGACGAGACGUUCGUUAGCUCCGUCACGGCGAGUUGAAGCGUUAGGUUGAAAAUCACCACCGGAUCGACGGCUUUGUUGCCGGAAUUAACGGAAACGACGUCGGUGAAGCAUGUGUCUGGAUGUUGCGUGACUGCACAUACGGUUUUGAUCGAUUCCGAUGACUUGAGCGACGGCGAUUGCGACGGUUGCGACUGUUUCGUGUGUUGGUGGUGAGCCGUUGUAGCAGCGGCGAUUGUUACGGCGAUUAUUAUAGCGAAAAGGAGUAGAGUGACGGUAACGGCGAUGGUGAGGGUUUUACGGCGGUUAGGUGACGGAGAUUGACGGUGAACGGCGGUUGUAUCGUCGUCGGAAGGAUCGAUUUUGCCGUAGCCUUUGACGAAAUUGACAGAUUCUUCCAUGACUGAGAUUUGGAGAGAGUGUCGUGUUGUAUAAAGUAUAGACUGGGGCAAAAUGAAAUUAAGUUUAGUGAUUUUUUUAGAGUAAAUUGCAAAAAUGGUCCCAGGUCUAUAAGGUUCGGUCAUUUUUUCACUUUAGUACAAAACUUAAAUCUUUUGAAUCUGGGUUCAUUGGUUUCAAUUUAGUUGUCAUUUUCAUUCAAAAGUAAAAUCUGAUUAGAUUUUUCAGUU